AGCAAAUAUAACAACAAUACAAAGCUUUUUCUUGGUGCAAGGAGCGAAAGUUAUUUCCCAUUAUUACAGAGCUCUGUCAGAUCCUGGACAAGCUUAUCAACAUAGCCACUCUUAAGCCCUGGGUCAGAUAGGAUUUUUCUCCACUUUGCAUGGUUCUUCUUCACCGUAACACCCACCUCAUUGUCUUUAUCCAUAACAACGGUAACGGCUUUGCUCAAGCUCCCCUUUGAAAACCAUCCAUUUUCUUCUCUCUAGUACAACACUGCUUUUUUAGGAACCCUUGGAUUUGGUCACGAGUAGGUCCAUGGCAAUAGAGAGCAACAUGGAUGUUGGGAUAUCGGAGGCAAUCUCAGUGCCCUCAGGGAGGCCUUCAACGUGGGGAACAGUGAUUGUAUGGAAGGUGAUGAGAUUUGGGUGGAGAUUGAGAUGUUGAAGCUCAAGUUGAGCUUUUUUGGGCACUAAGAAAGAGAUCCUAUGGCGUCUGGCAGCGAGCUCGUUAGAGAGGUGGAGGAAAGGGGUGAUGUGUCCCAUUGCAAACCAUGGGAACAUGGCUAUUUGAAAAUUAUUUGAGCUCUGAUUGGGCUGCGCCAUUUGAUUAACUUUUGUGCUAGCUCUUGUAUACCUGUGUUCCUUCUCGUUUGAUCCAAGAUCUCAAAGAACGUAUACUAUGUAUGUGGCUACGAGGUUAAUUAUAACUUAUGAGGCUUACC
rnacentral:lncRNA from 1 species